rnacentral:rRNA from 1 species
UUUUAAACUAGGAUUAGAUACCCUAUUAUUAUGAAAUUAAUAUUGUUAGUAAGUAUUAAUUAUGAAAACAAAAAACUAUGGCGGUACUCUAAGCUUUUCAGAGGAAUUUGCUCUUUUAUGGAUAAAACGCCCUUACCUUACUAAUUCUAGUUAAAUCAGUUUNGUAUACCACUAUGAAAGUAAUAAUUUACAAUUAUUACUGAGAAUUUUAUAAAUAGAAAAUAAAUUAAGUCAUGGUGCAGCAUAAGAUUUAGAAUGAAGUGAAUUACAUUGCUUAACAGUUAAAAUAAUUUGAACAAAAUANNUAAAGGAUUUGAAAGUAAAAAUUUAAUAAAAUGAACUUUUGAAUUAAGUUCUGGAGUAUGUACAUAUCGCCCGUCACUCUUUAAAAA